CCUCCCUCCAUGCAAGGCUCGGCUCUCCCAUUAUUCCAGUCUUUUCUGCCUUCUCUAGCCUGCUCCAGCACAGGGGGCUUCGAACUCCCAUGAGUGGAGCAUACAAGACCUCAUUUGCUCUGGCUUGGAGAGCAGGAGAUGUUCUCACUGACGUUUGCCGGCCGAAGCCCUAUGCUCUGUAUCAUCUGUAAGGAGCAGAUAAUUAAACAUUUUAAUUGACAGACUAUCACUUUUGUGGCUGCUAAAAGAACAAGCCUGUGAAUUUCUGACUGAGGUGGUCAGAGCUUAGGCAGGAACAACUGACAAUCAAGUCACCAGCUAAAAGGUGAGCUUUGAGCCAGACACAAAGUAUUCC
ensembl:lncRNA